CUUUCAACAACGGAUCUCUUGGUUCUGGCAUCGAUGAAGAACGCAGCGAAAUGCGAUAAGUAAUGUGAAUUGCAGAAUUCAGUGAAUCAUCGAAUCUUUGAACGCACAUUGCGCCCUCUGGUAUUCCGGGGGGCAUGCCUGGUCCAGCGUAAUU
rnacentral:rRNA from 1 species